GAACCCGCCUGCCGGAGGAGGGAGGCACGGCACACAGAUCUCGUGCCGCUGAGGCCUCGCGGAAGGGCGGGCGGCGGAACGGGCGGGGCCGGGCGCGGACUCAGCCGGCCCUUCUCAGGUGACCAUGCUUUGGGAUUUUCAUAGUUUGAAUAAUUCCUAUGGGCUCUGCCACCCACCAAGUUAAAGAAGACAAGAUUCCUCCCAGGGAGUUGUAUUGUGGGAAUGUGAGCAGCUUGUUUUAAUGAGAUCUGUGUCUUCAUCUGGUCUCCUGUUAGGAGCUGUGGUGGUGGGUUAUAUUGUUUUUGAUUGUUGUUUCUUAUAUCUUUCUCAGAUUUUUAAAGUUAUUUACAUAUAAAGAAAUGUUUUUGAAAAAUGAAUGUUUUAUGGGGACAUUUUGCUUAUACAAAGAAGAAUUAAAGCUAUUUUAAAGUAA